UGUUCGCAACUCGCUCAACUCACGCUGUGUGGCCUCGCUUGUUUGUCCAGCUACUUCCACCGCUGCAAAUGCCCCGAUCCCGCGCCAGCCGCACCGCGCCACGCCGUCGAGCAGACCGCCAAAGCCGUCCAGACUUCGAUGGUUCUCGCUCAACUCGCAGGCAGCGUGCUGGGCUAGCAAGCUGCCGUGGUUUGCUGCGUCAGAACCUCGACUUCCUCGCCACGACCGUCGGCGCCGACAGCCGUGGCCAGGGUGUCGACCACGUCAACCGAGUUUCGCCAUUGUAUUUCGCUCAACAUCGGUUUCUGCCGGGCACUCGUCCGCCUCCUUCGACCCGCUCCAGGGCUCAAGCUUGGCUUCACCCGCAAGAGAAGGAGAUUGAGGUUCGAGGUGCGCUGCUCCAUCCUCCCAGCAGUGUCUGUAGCGGGAGAACGAGGUGGGGUGUGUCUACGAGGCGCGCGCUUUGGCAGACCGAGGACGAGGCGGGCGGCUCGCAGGGUGCAGGUCAAGAUGUGGGAGUCGAGGAGGGACGCCCGGGUCCUCGAUAUACUCUGCAGAGUCUUCGGAAUCGUGUGUCAGCCGUCCAGGCUUGCUUCUCUUGCUCUCAGCUCCGCUCACCUGCAACACGAGCGCACGCAAUCUUGCUUGCCCCUCUGGCUCUACACGCUGUGCUUCCCGCAACGAGCCCCAUCUCGCAGCAGAAGCCUGCUCGGCUCGCGCCGCUUACGCGCUCUCGAGCACGACCUCUCUCUCUCGCUUUCUCUCCACCGGCGCACUCGCUUGUCCGCCUGACAUCUGCUUCCACAUUGGCAGAAGAUCUCAACACAAGCGGAAAAGUCGAACGGAGGUCAAUCAAUGCGGCGUCCGGUUCUGUUUACGGGCAGCGGCGAGUGCCGAUUCGCUUACUCGCUCUCAUUUUCUGAUACGGGGACGCAAUGUCACUGCUCUUCUCGAGUGCAGCUCUCGGCUGGGGACGCUAGGACGGGAACGCCGGUCGUUAUCUUGGCGGAUAAUCCACAACGAGGCGUCGGACGAGUCGCUAUGCCUGUGAUGCGAGUGUCGGACGCAGGAACGACACACCGACGGAGCAGGCUGAGGAAGGGCGGGAGCGACUUCGAGGGCUGCGUAUGCACUGUAACGUCGGACUCCAAUGGCGUCGCGAACAGAGACGACGGAGGGUAGGUGUUGCUCAGGCAUGGGAGUAGACUCGUCGCCUGUGAUACAGAGUACACUGUGUCUGCAGCUAGCUCUGCAGGCUCGAGACGCUCUCGACGCUCUCACUGGCUGCUGCCGUCGACCGCGGACUUCC
rnacentral:misc_RNA from 1 species